CCCUCCCGCCGCCGCCUCGCGCGGAGCCGCACAGCGCCGCUGCCGCUCCGACUGCGCCGCCGCGGGAGGUGGAAGAGCAAAGCAAGUGAUUCUCCAUCAGCUCACCCAGUUGGGUACCAUCAGCAUCCCCGCAUGGAGCCCUGCCUUCCGAAGGCUCCCCGCGGUGCCACCCAUCCGUGCUGCAGCCAAAAUCAGCGGCAGUGGGCGCUGCACCCGGCAGCACAAUGAACGGCCUAAAAACUCCAUUCUCUUUGCACGCAGUUUUUGUCACUGUUAAACCUCGGCCAGCGGUGAAGGAUCUGCAGGGGCUGUUUGAGUUGUCAGCUUUAUUCUCCCAAAUACCUGGAGAACAAUGGAGAUGAGUGCCGUGAUCCGAACUGCUGGCAGCACCGCAGCUCACCUCUCCGCACGGCAAAGCCCGUGUAUUUAAAUACAAUUAAGAAGCUUUCACAAGUGAGUAAUUCCAGGACUGGGAUUAAGGGAUGUGGUCAAGCAGGAUGCCUAUUGUCUGUGUGGAAGGGAAAAUCUGCUUCCCUUCGGUCUGGGCUGUAUCGCUCUGCCCUAAUAAACCACUGCCACUUACCAUGCUCUCUUGUGUUUAUUGAAUAUCCACAGCCUCACGUUUACGAAUCAGAGACGUGCUGCUAUCUGUACAGACCAACUGCAGGUUAAACGUUUCUGCUUCAAACGUCUCCAUUGGAAAGGAGCAGCUGAGCUAUGGGGUGUGUGGCCCACCGUGCUGUGCCCCCUCCACUGUUUGCUGCACUGACACUGCUGGCGAUGAGCUCAGCUCAUGGCUUCCCCCAUCCUGCACACAUCACACAUUCUUCAGGGCAACGUUUCAGUUUCCUCACCUCUCCCAGUGGGAGAAAUACACAACUGUCACACACCGAAAUAUAUUUUGUAUGUAUUUUUAUGUAUUCUAUACUCAUUUUGUUCCCGUGAGUUUUAUUUCAGCCCGGCCGUUUCCUUCCUCGCUCUCACUAUGGCUCCUGGCCCAUUGUUUUGGAUUUCUCAGCACUGACAAAAAUUUCCCUUCAGAGAUUCACUCACAGCAUUGGCUGUGACUUCUGGUUAAGCUCAGCACACCGCAAGGAAGGCACACAGACUGUGAAUGAGGAGAGGAAAACCAAAUGCUCUGUGCUCCCCAGUGGGAAUCAGAGACUCAUAGAACGGCCUGGGAUGAAAAG
ensembl:lncRNA